GUGGGAUAUUCUGUAUCUGGCGGCGGCCACUUAUAGAGCCUAUCACAGAUUAGUCAAUACCCAUGAUGGGGUCAACCGGAUGAUUAAAGGUGGGGUUCAACGGAUCGGGUCCGACCCUCCUGAAAAACUAGAGGAGUGAGACCUGGAUUUCAACUCGGAUUCUCCACAGUGACAAGCCAUAGCUUUACCAUGGCCGCGUGGUAAAGUUAUAGCUAAAAUUUAGAUAUUUUUUGCGAAUAUUUAUGACUUUAUAAACCAAAAAACUGAUGUUUCUUGCCCCGUCUUCUUCUAGAUAUAUGAUAUGAUUUUUUUUUAUCAAUAUGAAACUGCAUAGCAAAAAAUUUUGAGAUCAAGAUAUCACCACUCGCCAGAACGGAGCGCUUGGAUCUUGAUCAUCACCAUCGCAGGCUUAAACGAAUCAUUGUUCUGCUCAAAUGACCGUGUCAUAAUUCAAUUCAUAUCAUAGCUCAUUUAUCACUAAUACUCCCUUAAUCGCGAUAUUCCAACCGUUUUUCUUUUAUAUAUGAAAUGCAUACUGCAAUGCUGGAAUCGUCGCAACAGCUACCACGUCGCUUUAAUCUAACUUUAUGCUGUUAUAGCGGAUUUAAUUUAUAUUCCAGAAUAAUAUAUGUAGGUAAUUAUAGAAACCAUUUAUCUCCCGAUUUAAUGUGCAAUAUAUGCUUCCGGAUCAGUUUAUAUACACAAGCUAUAAAGAAGCAUCGUGGCACUCGUCUGCAGUGACGCGCAAAGUUUAUUGAUUUUUUCACUUUAUGAAUUAACAAAAUAUAAUUGUCGCUGAACAAAAUAAAAAAUGACACCUAUCACCGACAAAAAUAAUUACUAUUAUUAUAUAUUUCAAAAUUACAGGAUUAAUUCUCUCAUUUUUGCUUUUAUGCUUUUUUUUCAGUGAUUCUUCACAAUCAGAU
rnacentral:lncRNA from 1 species